rnacentral:snRNA from 1 species
AGGUGUGAGGGCAAUUUGGCUGUGACAUCAUGACCCCAUUGACCACCAUGGUUGAGUCAGCUGAUCUGGCUGGCUAGACGAAUGUGCCUCUCCUCUCUCACCGCUCCAUGGACAUCUCUCCCAAAGCUGCACAUUCCGUGGAAGAGGAUAACCAUCCCAAAGAGAAGAAUUGUAAUGUUUUUUGAUCAAAGAUAUAGGAUAACUACCCUGUUGGGAACGGUAGUGAGAGAGGGUAUCAAGGUCCAUCUGUAGGGUGAUCAAGCUUCCAACAGUUAUCACUGAACAUAUAUAUAUA